AAAUGUCGCGACUUUUGCGAAAUUACCGUUUUGCCAUCACCGACCUCUCCUCGAUCGACGUGCGAUCUCCGCAGAUCCGUCCGUCAGAUUUGCGAACGGAUUGCACCAGUACGAUCAGCACCACGGAGACAACAAAGCUACCAUUUUGGUUCAUCUCGAUCGGUCGCGGAUUCGCGACGAGAACCGUUCCAACUCUCCAAUAGAAGAACUACGCACAAAUACAUAGGAAACAUGUAUUUUUGGAUUUUCUCGAAAUCCGUGCGUCAAACUCAAAAUCCGUCAGCGCCAUUAGUUCCAGAAUAGCUGAACCGAUCAAAACGAGCUAUUGGAUCGCUAUGAACGAAGUCCGAUACACACCAGAAGCCAACUCUACUCCUUGGCUUCUCCGGAAAAUCGGAGUUACGAUUCACUUAAGUGAAAAUUAAAAUCGCGUAACUUCUCCGUUCUAACUCGUUUUCUCCUGAAACUUGACGAGUGCUUAUAUAAUUAAAUUACACACAUAAACAUCGUCAACAGAGUUUAGUUGCACUGUCAAAAUCUCAGUCCUUACAAUUCGAUUCGUGUAUAACAUUUACACAUAAGUUAUCAUAUUAUUCA
rnacentral:lncRNA from 1 species